rnacentral:rRNA from 1 species
AUGCAUCGUCUCUUCAACAUGAGCGACCUCGGGCUGCUCCGGUACUACCUCGGUCUAGAGGUAAACCAGGAGGGUGGUCGCAUCACGAUCACGCAGACGGCCUACGCCACCAAGAUGCUCGAGCGAGCAGGCAUGAAGGACUGCUAUGUUGUGCAUGCUCCAAUGGAGGCACGGCUGAAGCUCAGCAAGGAUAGCUCCGAGAAGGCGGUGGAUGCUACACUCUACCGCAGCAUCAUCAGGAGCCUCAGGUACCUCGUGCACACCCGACCGGACAUCACGUUCGUUGUCGGGUACCUGAGUAAAUUCAUGGAAGCCCCGGCAAGCGAUCACCUCGCUGCCGUUAAGCACCUGCUCCGGUACAUCGCAGGUACACUCAUGCAUGGAUGCGUGUAUCGUCGUGGCGACGACGAGAGCUUGGUCGGAUACAGCGACUCCGACCAUGCUGGUGACGUGGAAUCUCAGAAGAGCACCUCGGGCAUACUGUUCCUUCUCGGGAAUAGUCCAGUCAGUUGGCAAUCGGCGAGGCAGAAGGUUGUCGCUGCAUCUUCGUGUGAGGCGGAGUACAUAGCGGGAGCUACAGCGGCCUGUCAAGGCAUUUGGCUUGCUCGCCUUCUUGGCGAGAUGCUGAAUCAGAACACCGCCCCUGCGCUCAUCUUCAUCGACAACAAGUCGGCGAUUUCGCUCUGCAAGAAUCCAGUGCUUCAUGACCACAACAAGCACAUCGAUCUGCGCUAUCACUUCAUACGUGACUGCGUCGAGAAAGGCACGGUGAUCGUGGAGUUCAUCAGGACUGGUGAGCAGAAGGCGGACAUCCUGACCAAGUCACUUGGUCGCGUCCAGUUCCAAGAACUGCGCGGCAAAGUCAGGCUCAUGGAUAUCAAGCUCCUUCGACAAGGUCGAGGGGGAGAUUGUUGGGUCAACCAUAGUCUUCGGUUGCAUGCACGCAGCAGCAGUAGCUUCCUUGGCUUGAAAGGAAGUGGUAUUCACCUAGUAGUUUCCUGGUAG